CGGGCUCAAUUUCCUUGGAACAGGAGGUCAUGGAGGGUGAGAACCCCGUAUGUGGCUUGGGUUCUUUUGGUCCUUGUGACGUAUCCUCUAAGAGUCGGGUUGUUUGGGAAUGCAGCUCAAAAUGGGUGGUAAAUUUCAUCUAAAGCUAAAUAUUGGUGAGAGACCGAUAGCAAACAAGUAGAGUGAUCGAAAGAUGAAAAGUACUUUGAAAAGAGAGUGAAACAGUACGUGAAAUUGUUGAAAGGGAAGCGUUUGGCAUCAGCCCAUGGCGGCGGUCGGACAUCUGGGCUUCUGCCCAGUGCACUCGGCAGUCGCCGGGCCAGCGUCGGUUCCACCUGCUGGAGAAAGGCCUUGGGGAAGUGGCACUCCCUUGUGGAGUGUGUUAUAACCCAUGGCGUCAUGCGGCUUGGUGGGACCGAGGUCCGCGGUUUUGUCCUAGGACGCUGGCGUAAUGGUUCCAAGCGACCCGUCUUGAAACACGGACCAAGGAGUCUAACAUCUAUGCGAGUGUUUGGGUGUCAAGCCCGGCCGCGCAAUGAAAGUGAAUGUAGGCGGGAGCCCCU
rnacentral:rRNA from 1 species